rnacentral:rRNA from 1 species
AACGUAGGAGACAAACGUUAUCCGGAGUUACUGGGCGUAAAGGGCGUGUAGGUGGUUUUGUAAGUCUGGCGUGAAAUUUUUCGGCUUAACCGGGAAAGGUCGUCGGAUACUGCAGGACUAGAGGACGGUAGAGGCGUGUGGAAUUCCGGGUGUAGUGGUGAAAUGCGUAGAGAUCCGGAGGAACACCAGUGGCGAAGGCGACACGCUGGGCCGUACCUGAUACUGAUGCGCGACAGCAUGGGGGAGCAAACAGG